rnacentral:lncRNA from 1 species
CCCCCAAGCUCCUCUGAAACCUGUCGCCCCCAGCUUUCCCCAACAUAACCAGCAGGUGCCGUGCCCACUCGGACUCCAUAGAAGCUCCAUAGGGCAAGGCGAGGCCCCUGGUCCCAGAACAGUAGGCCAAGAGUAAUGCUACACAUCUGGAGGAUCUGAGAGGGGACACAGAGGGUCCUCACCGAAAUGGCCUGACCCAUUCUUGAGAAAAGCACACCAUUCCCUGCCUUCAACAGCAAUCGUUCACCAGGGACUGGAACAAAACACAGCCCACCAGAAGCUGUUACUGGACACCACUGAUAGACACGUGGUAGCUAACCAAGAGCUGCUGACCGGCUGAAUCCCAUGAGCACAAUGCAGUUAAUGGUCAGACUUCCUGAUUCGGGGGGCAACAGGUGUGAUCCUGGACCACAGAGCAUCCAUGUCCAAGGGAAGGACGGGGACAGGAUCAACACCUGAGAAGGAGGCCACCUUCACCCCACACCAUCCUCCAAUUACACCACGGGAUGCCAGUGGUUUUCAGACGAUCUCAGAUUCUGAAGAAAUCCUGGGCCUCCAUGAGAGAAGUAUAUUGGUGAAACAGUAGAGGAUAAACUUAGUGCAGAUGACUUCAGACCCUCAGCUACAAAUUUAG